CAUUUCAAGAGUUCAAAAAAUUGAACUUUUUACGCUCAAUACGCAUGAUACGCAUGACGAUUAGCCGCGUUGCCCAAUCAGCGUUGAGCUUGACCCGACGUCACUGGCAGAGAGUAGUGAGCUUGGACAGAAGCAUACGGCCGACAUCUUUCUUUAUUCUGUGUGGAAAUAGUAACAUAGUUACGCCAUUAAAUGCUUUUAUGGAAACAUUUCUAGCGAGAAAUGUGCAUUUUACUUUCAUAAUGUUCGCUCGGUGAAUGUGAAGGAUGUUUGGUUUGAUAGUUAUGACGAAGAGGGAACGCUCCGUUCACUUGCAUGGACAGAGUCUCUGGUUACUAAGCAACCUCAACGUCUUGGCGGACUAUUUCUCUGCUGAUCAACACUACAGACACUACACGAACAGAAAUGGAGGUGGAUCAAAAUAUCAUCGCCGCCGUGUGCGGCCGUCCUGUCCUGUAUGACACCACGAUGGUGUCGUACAGGGACAGGAACAAAACAGAGAGGGCGUGGGUCGACGUGGCAGAGGAUAUUGGCGUUCCUGUGGACGUAUGUCGCAGGAGGUGGAAGUCACUCAGGGACAGGUACAUGAGACACAAAAAGAAUAAAAAGGAGGGAAAAAAGAGCGGGUCAGCGGCAGGGAGAGUGGACACGUGGAAAUUUGCUAGGGUCCUGUCCUUCCUCGACCCCUUUGUCACCCCGAGGGAGAGCAGCAGCAAUUUACCUCUGGGGGCAGAGGAGGUUGAGGGGGACGGGGCUCCAGAGACUCCACUGUCAGGGGCAGGAGAAGAUGAGGAGCUUGAGCAGGCAGCAGCAUCGCACAACAGGUUUGUUGACAAGUGAAGACACGUACAGCUUCUGUAUUAUGGCCACAGGAACGAUUUACAGUGCGGCACGAUUCUGUCUAUCUUUAAUGUGCAAUAUAGAUAUAUAUCAUCCAAGCAAAAAAAAAACAAGUCUUCUUUCUCAAUAACAUAGACCAGCCCAGCAGUGAGUCUGAUAUAGAGGACGCUGAUGCUGCUCCUGCUCCUGCUCCUGCUCCUGUCCCUGCCGCUGGCCCUUCCUGUGUACCUGUCCCUGAGGCUGCCCCUGCCCCAAGACCACAGGGCGCGACAAAGAGGAAGAGAGCAGCCAGGGUACCGGAGGGGAAUACUGUCCAGACAGCCAUCCUCCAGGCCCUGCAGAGGCAUAAUUCUGUGCCUACCCCUACCCCGCUUUCUGGGAAUGAGCACUUUGCCAUGGGCCUAGUUCCUUCCCUGGAUAGAUUGCCACCUGAAGUACUGGAGUACGUUAAAUUCCAAAUCCGUAAAGUCAUAUUUGACCAUUCUAAUUUCACCGUUCAAUUGGAACCUAUUUAAGCUUAUUAGCUAGUGGUGGUGACAAUCUCUCCAGGGAAAGAACUAGGCUGAUGUCACUGUUAACUGUUCAUUUGUUAUUGUUCUGUUCUGUUUAUAUUAUAUUGUUCUAUGUUAUUUUUAUUAUUUUUAUUUUUAUAAUUAUUUUUUAAAUAAAAUA